AUAAUGUUUUCAUUGGGAAAAUGCCUAUGAAUAUGUUCAUAUUUGUGUGGGGGUUUCUGCCAGUCAGAGAGGUGGCGCUGACAGCCAAUUUAAUAAUUAGAUUUUGUUUUUAUAUGAGUAAAGGGGGGAGAAAGACAAAAAGAGAAGAUGGCGGGGCACUGUUAACACUGGAUGCAUGUUAAAUCGAGUGAUUUAGAAAAAUAUAGUUUCUGAGGUUCAUAGAAGUGUUUGACAUUUGAGUUAGAACGCUUCAUGUUUUCCAAUGGGACUACCUCUUUAUGCAGUAACAAGAAUUUCGCCAAAGCCAAAUAAAAGUUCGUGAAGCUUGUUAGCAGACUAGGUGCUAGUCAUAGCCUACACCAGCCACCAUUGUGCUAGCUGGACUUGAACCAUCCUUUGCGCGAGAUGUGACGGCUGUGCAUUCGCUCUGGAGAGGGGAAGAUCUUGCGGAAAAGACAACGGAUUUCCAGUGAAUAACACGGGUAAUCCAGUUAAAGAAACCUGAUGCGUCAAUAAAUAUGCCAUCCCAUGUGGAAACUACGACACCUCCGAAAUCGUGGCAGGAUCCUCCGCCUUCUGGCUGAACGCGAGCUGAGCAGCCACUCAGCCCCAGGCGGCGCAGCCAAAUCAAUCUCUCGAUGCCACUGCUGGCAUUGUACUUUGACUUUGAUGAAAACAUUUAGGAGCACACAAAGAAAUUUAGGAGCACAGUGUUUUUUUAUUGUAUUCGUUUAUUA